rnacentral:rRNA from 1 species
GACGAACGCUGGCGGCGUGCUUAACACAUGCAAGUCGAACGAAGAGCGAUGGAAGCUUGCUUCUAUCAAUCUUAGUGGCGAACGGGUGAGUAACGCGUAAUCAACCUGCCCUUCAGAGGGGGACAACAGUUGGAAACGACUGCUAAUACCGCAUACGAUCUAAUCUCGGCAUCGAGGAUAGAUGAAAGGUGGCCUCUACAUGUAAGCUAUCACUGAAGGGGGGGAUUGCGUCUGAUUAGCUAGUUGGAGGGGUAACGGCCCACCAAGGCGAUGAUCAGUAGCCGGUCUGAGAGGAUGAACGGCCACAUUGGGACUGAGACACGGCCCAGACUCCUACGGGAGGCAGCAGUGGGGAAUCUUCCGCAAUGGACGAAAGUCUGACGGAGCAACGCCGCGUGAGUGAUGACGGCCUUCGGGUUGUAAAGCUCUGUUAAUCGGGACGAAAGGCCUUCUUGCGAAUAGCGAGAAGGAUUGACGGUACCGGAAUAGAAAGCCACGGCUAACUACGUG